UAUAAAAGAAGAAAUAUAUAUCACUCAUUUUGUCUUUAUUUCCUUUUAGAAAGAAAAAUGCCCUCAGCUACUCAGCUGUUGUAACUUGUGUAUGUGUUUUCCACAUUUCUCCCCCAUUUCUCUGAAUGAUCAAGUUAAUCAUUUCAAAGUGAGAGAGUUACGCCCUUGUUACAGAACCUGAGUACUGGGGAGGGAAUAAUCCAUGUUUAUUUCUGUGUAAUUGAUUUGGGAGGAACAGGGAAAUAUAUAAAACUAGCAAUGUGUAAUAUUUGAAAAAUGCUGUUUAGGAUGGAAAAAUUAUGGAUGCAAUAAGAUCACCCUAUUCGCACCCAGCAUCUCACAGAUCUGUUUGCAUUUGUAUACAUUACAGAGUAACAGCUGAGCCUUUAGCCCUCCUUGGGAAAACAAAACCAGAUUGAAACACCCAAGGUCUCAUUUUCAAGAUUUGCCCCAUAUAAAGAGUCACUUACAAAAAUAUAUGUAAUGUAGCUCAUUAGCAGUAGCUCUGACACACCCACUUUCCUUGUAUUUAGUUAUUAGAGGAACAAUGAUGCCAUAAUAAACACUGGCUGGGAGCUUUCCAACAGAACAGGUUUUUGUCAGUGAAUGCUGGUUUGUCGUAAGCAAAAUGUUUCGCAGAAACGUAUCUGUUUGGAUGAACUUCCGCCGAAACACAGGCAGGUUUCCAUCACAAGCCUGCCUGAUUUCCUGCCAGCUUGCCUGGCAGCUCUCCAGGCUCCACGGCUCCAGGACGGCUCUGCUCUAAACCUGGGAUUCUUCCUGGUUUCUUUUUCUUUUCUCUUUUGUAAUUAGAGGGAAAAGGUCUUGGAAGAAAUACACAUUGGCCCUGCCUGGCUUUUUCUGAUUGUUCAGAAGUAGGUGUGGGGUUUUUGUUGUUUUUUACAGUGAUGACAUCGCACAGCCCAUCUUGGCUCGUUGCAUGGGAGAGCCAGAAUAGCAUUCCUCCCUGCUAGAGGUUAAACUGCCCUGGAAGUGAAAUAGAUUUCAUGCCAUACUGAGCUUCAUUUCUGAACACUUUCAGGAGACCUCCCGGUGCCAAUAUUGUCUCCUCCUCUCUAUUUUCUAAAACACUUAAUUGCACUGCGGUCUCUCUGAAGCAGCAGUACCCUUCAGCGCUGCCUCCUUCGCUUGCUUCUCGUCAGCCAGUUUCUGGUGCAGAGGCUGCACCGACCUCUCAGGUCUCUUCUGGACACUUGUGGCUGCUGGGCAUUGCUGUGGACAUCGGGUGGUUUCGUGGUACCUUAGGCACUGAGAUUUACUCUAGAAAUCUGCUUCAGCAGCCAGCUGCUUGUGCUUUGGCUCUGCUGCUGCUUCCUGCUUUAUCUGCCCCAUCUUCACCUGGAGACAGAAUAUUUCCCUGCACUUAACUCUGAAUCACCUGGGGGGUGGCGGUUGUUUCAUUUUUCUCUUUAAAGCGGGGUUAUCUGAGGGCAGGACGUUGUGCAGGCAUGUGCCCAGCAUUCUGGGUGCUCAGGUGAAGCACGCUGGGGAUGUCGGACAGCUUCUCUUUCACCUUGGGGCUCGGGCUGUAGGCAGUCAGCUUUAUCUGCCUCUGUAAUCCAGACUCACAGCUUCUAGCAAGCUCCUAAAGAUUUAUUUUUUUCCUCCUGCCUAAAAGUUUCAUCAGUUGCUAAUUUGUCUGUGUACUUGGGUUAAAUUGGUCAAAAUUGAGAAGAUCCCAGCUUCUGAUAAUUAGGUUGAGUGGUCUUCCCAAAUGUACCCACAACCUCUGCCUCCUUCUGCACGAAUACCUCAUCCCUUCCUAUACUGCCUGUCCUGACGUAGCCCAUCAGUUCUUUGCUUAUCUCUUCCUCUCUCUGUUCUCACUCUCUCUUCUCUCCCAUCCUUUUCCUUUAAAAAAAUAUUUUGCAACCUACAAUUAAUGCACUUGGCUGAAGUCUCAUUGGGCAUAUCAGGAAAUUUUCUGGAUCGCUCAUGGGUGGAGUUUCCCAAAAGCAUCAAUCUGGUAUUAGUGUUGUAUAAACAACAGGCCUGCCAAACUCCAGAGAGUGUGAGGCAGCCUCAGAAUGUUGUGCCUCCUUGCAGACUUCAUUUGUGGAUUACCUCCUACAGCAGAGACACCGUGGUCUCUGCAGUCACACAGCAAGGAAUGACCACGAGCAUAACCAGAGCAGAGGCAGGGAUGGAUCUGGCUCUUGUUCCCUCUUUUCUUUCAGCACCAUCAGCACUGCUUGGUAGCUGCCCGUUCAAGUGUCUGUGAAGAAGUCAUGACUGCUAACAUGGUUAAAAGUGCAGGCACAUUUUCAAAGUUGGGUGUAAAUUGCCCAGCUCAUUUUUGCCACCUGUCGUGGGAUAAUGGGAUGUGCAAUAAUGACAUCGUGUGCAGCAGCUAUGGGAUAGAGUUUGAAUCGGUACAUUGUCUGCAGGAGAACUUUAAAUAAAUAUUACAGCUCAUACCGCACUAGUAUGGCUUGACAUACAGAAUUACUUAGCUCAUUUGGGAGACCUUGGUCGUGGUUGUGAAAGCAGUGGGCAAGAGCUCCUACAAUUAUCUAAACCACAGACUAGGAAUGCCACAGAUAACCAUCAUUUCCUACAUUUCUUUUUAUAAGAGGCUGUUCCACAAAUUUCUUGAACUUUAACUGCCUUAACUGAAAUUUUCCAUUCUUGGUACCCAUUUCAGGAUGAAAUUUUCAGGAAAUUUUCAGCUUUUUCAGAGAACAAGAUAAUAUGUAACCCCCUUUGGAUCUUUCCUGGAGAUGUUCUGGCGUCAGAAAUCGUAUGGAAAACUGAUGGGGGUGAACUGCUGUAGGAAACACUUUUCCUGAGGACGCAGGCAGGCAGAUCACUGAAAGCCACUGAGGAGAAUGGCCCAGGUCAGAUGGAAAGCAGGCACGGUGGGACUGAGGCUAGCUCAGCAUGGAGUCUGAGGCUGGGGUGAGGAAACAGAAGGGAUCUGAGUGCUGAAGAGGGAUGCUAUGAGAUACCAUGGAGUUAGAAGCAGGAUCAAGGAGAUUUGUAGUGCUGGGAGAAAUGAAGCUUGUAGCAAUAGGAAGAAAGGAUCCUGGUCCAUUACGGCCAGUUUCUGACCAGUUUGCAGUGUGACCUCUUGUUUGACUCAACACCUGUCAAACCUGGCUGGUUCCCCCCCAGCUGCUCAUUUCCCUGCAGUGUGAGCAAGCGUGGAGGAUAGCACCCUGCUGCAGCUGUCGGGCACUCCAUCUGCUCAACAGGCAAUGGUCAGUGUGCUGAACCUAAAAGCACAGAGGAAAUACACACAGAGAAAACUAUCUGGAGCUACUACCUUAAAACAGUAUUACUAAGGCGGCUCUGGAGAACUGGAUUUCAUCUCCGCAUCUGUAUCAUCAACCUGGCAGCUGUACUCUGUGUAGGAAGCAGUGGGAUGGAGAUGUGAAAAGGAUGGCAAGGAGGCGGAUGUAAAACCCAAAACCUGGAGACUGCAAAGUUAUAAGCAACUGUUUUGAAUUCUUGGUUGAGAUCUCAGAGAUGCUACAAGGGACAAAACAACAGAAUUUGAAGCAAGAGACAAAUAAUGAAAAGCAAUUCUGUGAUUACAGGUCCAGUCAAUAGCUUUUAUGUCAAUAGAAAGAUGAAGAGGAGCCUUUGGAGGAAAGUAAUUAGUUCUGCAUUAGAAAUGUGAAAAACAGAAAUGUGAAAAGCUGCAGGUGAGGCACCGGGACAUGCUGCCUGCUAUUCUGCCUUAGAAAAAGGUUCUGCUGUCUGUCUAACUGUGGUUUUAUGAACUGUAGGCCAUGUUUAUCCGUUGCCCUUCCUAUUCGAUUUUAUAAUGGUGCAUGCAUCCUUUUGCAUUUUUUAAAAUCAAUUUGAUGCCUGCAAAUUGAUUUGCCAUACGAACAUCCUCUCCCUCUCCUGGUCCAUUCAGCUUCUAAUGAGCAGCCCAUGCUGCCUUCCUUUCACAUGCUCCUGACCCUGCUGACUCCAAAGCAUUUUCCAGCCCCCUAAGCAUCCUGCAGCACUUUUCCUUGCCCCCUUCCUGUCAGCAGUGCUGAGCCUCAGGAGGCACCACCCCGGGUGCCAUGCCUGCUGCUGUGCACCUGUCAAAGGUAGGAGGUCCUGCUGGCCUGGGGGAUGCUCCCCACUGCCUUCCCCUCGGCAUCGACAGCGAGGUUGGGGCAGCAUCCUCAGGCAGAUGCCUGGGCAAGGGGAAGGAAACCUGCUCGGUCAGCUAGAACACUGGGUUGUCAAACACACUUGUUCACUGGGGUGUGAAAGGGAAGCUGAGGAGAAGAGAAAUGAGUUUGAAUGCAUUUUAAUUGGGAUUAUGGGCAUAUGGUGUGGUGUCGUUUGUUUUCCUCUUCCUGCUAUGCAGUGGGGCUUUAAUACCUUCUUCACACAUUUGCCUUUAUCUGUCAUGUCAAAAGGGGAGACAGCAAGAGGCUUUCUUUUUCUCCCCUUUCUCCUGGGCCAUGCUCAGAGCCCCUUACUUCCCCUGCAACUUUGCUGAAGGAACGAUCCUGAUUUUCAGAAAAAGCACAGCCAGAUUGCAAAAGCAGAUUAAACAGCUCCAAGUUAUUUUUAUUAAACUUUUCAGCUGCUCCUGGGAGGACUUUUGCUCAUUUCCAGCAGCAGAAGGGGAUGGAUUCAAAGGGAGAGGCGGGAACGUGAUGUCCACAGUACCACAGGCACACAAUUCCCCGGCAGCUGGAUAGUUAGGUUUUAUUGUUAUGACAGUAUAUUUAGUGUUUUGUAAAAUGCUACUUAGGGAGCCAUUUCCCUUGAUGUACAGCAGUUUGUUAGCUGUAAGAUUCAGACAUGAGCCUUUAAUUAUGCCUAGCAUCUCCGCAAAAGCAAUUUCAGUUCUCUCCCUUGCCUCAUGCAGCAUCUUUGGAUGCUCUGCUUUUGAAUGUGAACAAGUUAUUGUUUAACACAGCUUUAAAUCACUACAGAAAUGUUCUGUAGCAUCCACUGGGAAAGCCUGCUCCCAUCUGCCCUGUUUUCUCACAGUCGCUCUGGGAAUGAAGGCCAAUAAUCACAGAAAUUUUGUUUAAAGGUUAAGCACGGAGAAGCAUACCUUCAUAUACUGUGCAAGCUAACAGCAGGUGAAGCUGUGGCUCAGAAACAUUUAAAGAGGAAACUAUAGUUUAAUAUUAAGCAUCUUUCCCAGCCUUCACAUGAGCCUCUUUCUAGUUAUUUUCCAAAGAUGUAUAUGAUGCAGUAUAGGACUUAUUUUUUCUGAGGACUUGCAGGGGACCUAGAAGUGUAGUUAAUGCCCACUUCAGAAAAAAUACCUCCAGCACUACUGAAGUCAAUCUGAAUCUGCUUCUGCCUUCCCUGACACAAACCCUCUGUGGUAGACUUCGGACAGCUCACUGUGCCAUGGCAUCCCAGCUUGUUCCUUAUGCUAAACCUCUAGCUCCUAAAUAGAAGUCAAGAUGUUUAUUUUUCUUCUGUAAAGAAAUAUAUAUAUAUAUAUUUAUGUCUUAGAUGUAGAAAAGGAAUAAACCAUUGGCUAAAUGCAAUUCAGUACUUCCUAUAUUUGAUGCUCCUUGUCUCCCAGUUUCUGUUUCAAAUAAUGAUGAAAAAGUUGUAUUAAACUUACAUCAAAGGAAAGUUGUGGAAGCAGAAACAUGAAUAACAAACACAUGCAUAAUGUGAUUCUGAACAAAGAAACCUGUGUGGGGAUAGGCUGCACAGGAACACAUGUAUGUCAUUUCAGCAUAUUGCUAACACAUGUAGGGGUCAUCCAGAUAUGGUCUGGAGCAGCUGAGAGCCUUGUUUGAAGGCAAAUUUUACAGAAUCUUUGUUAGUACUGUGGCAACAACUGCACUUUGCAGCUUUAUAGAGCGCUUACCACAAUUGCUUAUGUGUUGUCCGGUGCAGGUUUCCAUAUACAAGGAUGCUCCAAAGGGAGAAGGUAAAGAAUAUAUAAAGAAGAUGGUGACACUGGACAACAACAAUUUGCAAGCAAUUUUGGACUGAACAAGAUACAUCUGUCCCUGCACUGUGGUGGAAACCCAUCCGUCUGCACCCCAGAGCGCUGUUGUUGUCUUCUCACCUAUCACUUCCCACUUGUGGCAUCACUUCAUCUAGUCAACAGCAAUUUGCCAUCUACAGUGCCAAGAAACUUUGAAACCGUUAUGAAUUUCAUACCAGGAAAGGCCAUAAGGUGCAUUCUGCAUGUCAAAUGCCUCAGAAGCUGGUUCCAUGCAACUGUAAGCACUUACCCCAAAUGGAUGUGAAUACACUUCUGUGCUAGCAGCCUGUUGUUUUGGGGUUUACUGCAUUGUUUUUGAGCACUGCUGUAAUGUACCCCAAUAAAUCUUCCUACAUUUUGUUUUGCACCUUUC